rnacentral:ribozyme from 1 species
AACGCACAACGCCCUGUAAAGGGAUGGGAUCUGAAGACUCCUGAAGAUUCCAUCCAACUCCUAUUCCGACACGUCCACGUCGUGCAGGGUGGUAACAUGAGCCCAGCCUUUUGGCAGGAUGAAGGCUCAUGGCUAAGAAGGAGGGG